rnacentral:rRNA from 1 species
UACAGAGGUCCCAAGCGUUGUUCGGAUUUAUUGGGCGUAAAGGGUGCGUAGGCGGCGGAGUAAGUUGGGUGUGAAAUCCCGGGGCUCAACCUCGGAAUUGCAUUCAAUACUGCUUCGCUCGAGUACUGGAGAGGAGGCUGGAAUUUACGGUGUAGCAGUGAAAUGCGUAGAUAUCGUAAGGAAGGCCGGUGGCGAAAAGCGAGCCUCUGGACAGUUACUGACGCUGAUGCACGAAGGCCAGGGGAGCAAACGGGG